rnacentral:rRNA from 1 species
GACGAACGCUGGCGGCGUGCCUAAUACAUGCAAGUCGAACGCAGUGGGGACGGGUGAGUAACACGUGGGUAACCUCCCAUCAGAGGUGAUAACACUUGGAAACAGGUGCUAAACCGAUACUGAUGGAUGGACCCGCGGUGCCUUCGCUAGUUGGUGAGGUAACGGCUCACCAGGGCAACGAUGCAUAGCCGGCCGAGGGGGGGGAUAGUCCACACUGGGACUGAGACACGGCCCAGACUCCUACGGGAGGCAGCAGUAGGGAAGAUUCGGCAAUGGACGAAAGGCUGACCGAGAAACGCCGCGUGAGUGAAGAAGGUUUUCGGAUCGUAAAACGCUGUUGUGAGAGAUGCGGUAUCUAACCAGAAAGCCACGGCUAACUACGUGCCAGCAGCCGCGGUAAUUC